GAUCAUUUGGACUUGGUGUCAAAAGAGAGCUGGCAACGUUUGACCUAAAGGCAAAAAGUCCUAAACAAAAUAAACCCCACUAUUAAUUGCAACAUUUCAGUUGUAAGGAUAAAUUACAAACAUAACAUAACAGGGGUGAACUCAGGAAAUCAGGAACAAAAAAUAACUAUGUUCGCUGAUAUAAUUCCAGGAGCUCCAGAGUCGGCCAGUUCAGGUCACAAGGCAGGGGAAGCCGAGAUAAAUUGCUCCACAAAUUCAUACAAGAUGGGGGGGCGGAGCCAACUGCCGAGCUGAUCAGACGCCAUUUCUGACAGCUCCGACAUCUAAACUAAAAUCUCGCCUAAAUCUUGACCAUCAAGCCUGAUCCCACCACCCCAAACACAUACACCGACCUGGGAACCCGCACUGCAUCGACAGAUGCCCUUCUUUGCGAAAACAAAGACGCAGAAGCAGAAGCGCAAGCCCGGGGCCUACUCCGCGCACACACUGCCUACCCUAGCGGCGCUCUACGGUGGAGCCUAUCAAGGCCCUACAAGUAACCCGGGCAUCGGAUCCCCUUCCACCUCGGGAGACUUCAUGCCCGCCAUGGGGCGACGCUCCCAGAAAGCUGGAACCCAGAUAGAAGGUAGAGACAUCGGGGCCAUGCUUCAGCGGCCUGCUAGGCCCAAACAGACCCCAGAGGAAAAUCAGCCUAGUCCUACCCAAACAGCUCAAGCUGAACUAACCGAGAGAAAUAACCUCUAUAUAGCACCACCAGCACCCCCGGAGGGAUCACCACCAGCGACUAAACAUGACUUACAAAUCCUC